AGAGUUUGAUCCUGGCUCAGAAUCAACGCUGGCGGCGCNNUUAACACAUGCAAGUCGCACGAGAAAGUGGAGCAAUCCAUGAGUACAGUGGCGUACGGGUGAGUAACACGUGGAUAACCUGCCUUAGAGUCUGGGAUAACCCGUCGAAAGACGAGCUAAUACCGGAUAAGACCACGGGGAGUUCGCUUCCUGAGGUAAAAGAUGGCCUCUGCUCCUGCAAGCUAUCACUUUGAGAGGGGUCCGCGUCCUAUCAGCUAGUUGGCGAGGUAACGGCUCACCAAGGCUAAGACGGGUAGCUGGUCUGAGAGGAUGGUCAGCCACACUGGGACUGAGACACGGCCCAGAGUCCUACGGGAUGCAGCAGUCAGGAAUAUUGCGCAAUGGAGGAAACUCUGACGCAGCGACGCCGCGUGGGUGAUGAAGGCCUUCGGGUCGUAAAGCCCUGUCGGAGGGGAAGAAAAGUCUGUUGGCUAAUAUCCAGCGGACCUUUGACGGUACCCUCAAAGGAAGCACCGGCUAACUCCGUGCCAGCAGCCGCGGUAAGACGGAGGGUGCAAGCGUUGUUCGGAUUGACUGGGCGUAAAGGCGUGUAGGCGUGUCAAGUCGGGUGUGAAAGCCUGGGGCUCAGCCCCAGAAGUGCAUCCGAAACUAGCGAGCUAGAGCGCGAUAGAGGAGGGUGGAAUUCCUGGUGUAGCGGUGAAAUGCGUAGAUAUCAGGAGGAACACCGGCGGCGAAGGCGGCUCUGGAUCGUUCUGACGCUGAGNNGCGAAAGCGUGGGGAGCAAACAGGAUUAGAUACCCUAGUAGUCC
rnacentral:rRNA from 1 species